GACGAACGCUGGCGGCGUGCUUAACACAUGCAAGUCGAACGGAAAGGCCCUGCUUUUGUGGGGUGCUCGAGUGGCGAACGGGUGAGUAACACGUGAGUAACCUGCCCUUGACUUUGGGAUAACUUCAGGAAACUGGGGCUAAUAUCGGAUAGGAUCUCCUGCUGCAUGGUGGGGGUUGGAAAGUUUCGGCGGUUGGGGAUGGACUCGCGGCUUAUCAGCUUGUUGGUGGGGUAGUGGCUUACCAAGGCUUUGACGGGUAGCCGGCCUGAGAGGGUGACCGGCCACAUUGGGACUGAGAUACGGCCCAGACUCCUACGGGAGGCAGCAGUGGGGAAUAUUGCACAAUGGGCGGAAGCCUGAUGCAGCAACGCCGCGUGCGGGAUGACGGCCUUCGGGUUGUAAACCGCUUUCGCCUGUGACGAAGCGUGAGUGACGGUAAUGGGUAAAGAAGCACCGGCUAACUACGUG
rnacentral:rRNA from 1 species